UCAGGACGAACGCUGGCGGCGUGCCUAAUACAUGCAAGUCGAACGGUCUUUCUAUGGAAGCUUGCUUCCACUGAAAGAUAGUGGCGAACGGGUGAGUAACACGUAGGUAACCUGCCCAUAAGAGGGGGAUAACAUCCGGAAACGGGUGCUAAUACCGCAUAGUUUUCUUGAUCGCAUGAUCGGGAAAGGAAAGACGGCCUUUGUGCUGUCGCUUAUGGAUGGACCCGCGGCGUAUUAGUUAGUUGGUGAGGUAACGGCUCACCAAGACGAUGAUACGUAGCCGACCUGAGAGGGUGAUCGGCCACAUUGGGACUGAGACACGGCCCAAACUCCUACGGGAGGCAGCAGUAGGGAAUCUUCCGCAAUGGACGAAAGUCUGACGGAGCAACGCCGCGUGAGUGAAAGAAGGUUUUCGGAUCGUAAAACUCUGUUGUCAGAGAAGAACAAGUUGGAGAGUAACUGCUCCAGCCUUGACGGUAUCUGACCAGAAAGCCACGGCUAACUACGUGCCAGCCGCCGC
rnacentral:rRNA from 1 species